CCGAGGAGUCCUGGCCGUUCGCGAGUCGUAGGGGCUUAUCGAACCCUGAAGGCACAGCGAAAGCGAAAGAGCACGCGCUGAUUGUUGGUCGUUUUGGUCGUUAACGCGUCUUGCGAUUCAAGAUCACGUUGAUGCUCGUCGGUGAGAUCUUUAUAUAUAUACACACGCAAAUGUUUAAAAUGUGUUCGUUUUGUUUUUGGCCUUUUUUCGUUUCUAACGAGAAGAAGAAGAAGUGCGAUGGAUGUUAUUUUGAUUAUUUUUUUUUUAAAUUUUUUGUUUGCCAGCGCAUCACCCCCGGGUCGGAUACAGAUGCGUUUGGCGUUCGCGCGUUAGGCAAUUCUGCCGACCCUGGCGUAGCGAAUGACCAGGGACCCGAAAGAUGGCGAUCCACGCCCGGUCGGGACGAAGCCAGAGGAAACUCUGGUGGAAGUCCGAAGCGCCUCUGACGUGCAAAUCGAUCGUCGGAACUGGGUGUAGGGGCGAAAGACCAAUCGAGCCAUCUA
rnacentral:rRNA from 1 species